AUGGCGAUGCGGCCCAAGUCCGAGAUGUCCCCGCCGCCCUCCGACCAGCGGGACGCUGUCAUCGAGGAGCUGAGAAAGGGCGCCCAGCUGGCUGACUGCCUCCGGCAACAGCUGGAGCUCAUCCCGGAGCUCGGUCGCCGCAGCGCCGCGCUGGCCAACGUGAGCAACAUCUCCACGGCCCUAGUGUCGUCCGCCUCUAUGCUGGAGUCCAACAGAGAGCAGUACAGCUGCUCUUCCUCCGACCCCGGGGCGGCGGCCUAUGCUGCCGGCGCCUCUGGUAGUGGCGGUGGCACUGGGGCACGAAAUGGAGCCAUUGCCCGCACCAGGAAGGCAAAGCACCGGCGAGGCACCCAUGGCGAGGAGCUUCCAAUCAGGGAGGUACUAACUGAAACACCAGAAAAUGAUGGGUUCCACUGGAGAAAAUAUGGCGAGAAGAAGAUCCUGAAUGCUGUUUUCCCAAGGUCAUACUACAGAUGCGGAUACAGCGACGAGCACAGGUGCCCGGCAAAGAAACUUGUGCAGCAGCAAAACAAUAGCGACCCUCCUGUGUUCAUGGUCACCAUGAUCAACGACCACACAUGCAGUAGUUUGUUCCCCGCUGAUGAUCAACCACACAGCAGCUCAAACAGUGCUACUGCUAACUCACAAGUGCUCGACUUCACCAAAGCAUCGCCCUCUUCAGCUGCUGGUGUAUGGAGGUUGAAGAAAGAGGAAGAUGCAGGAAUGUCAGUGACCGUGCCUAGCUACACGCAUGAUGAGCUGGCUUCUUAUUCCUCCUUGCCGUUGCUCUCACCGAAGGAGUGGGAGAUGGAGAUGGAGAUGAAGUCACUUUUUAGUCAUCACUCGGGAGGUGGUACUUAG
rnacentral:rRNA from 1 species